rnacentral:tRNA from 1 species
AUUUAAAUAGCUUAAUUUCAAAGAGCAUAAUAUUGAAGAUAUUAAGGUGAUUGGUAAAUCUUUAAAUA